UACGAUCACUGGUUUAUUUGU
rnacentral:piRNA from 1 species